UUUACGAUCUGUUUGCGUUUGAAAGAUGGUGGUAAGGAGUACUCAUCGGGAGGCGGAGCGGCAUCUAGGGGGCAGCAAAUAAUUUAUUUGUGUUGAAGAGGCGGAGCGGCAUCUAGGGGGCAGCAAAUAAUUUAUUUGUGUUGAAGAUGGAAUGAGAUUAAUUGAACGGUUUGGAAGAUGAAGGGUUGAAGAAGAGUCGGAGCGGCAUCUUGGCGGCGGUUGAAGAUGGAAUGACAUUAAUUGAACCGUUUGGAAGAUGAAAGGUUGAAGAUGGAAUGGAAUUAAUCGAACCGUUUGGAAGAUGAAGGGUUGAAGAUGGAAUGAGAUUAAUCAAACCGUUUGGAAGAUGAAUCGAUACUUUGAACCGACUAAUUGGGAACUUAAAUGAGAUGGGGUUGAGAAAAAAACAUUGCCAUAUGCCGCCACGUGGACAAAAAACUUG
rnacentral:lncRNA from 1 species